rnacentral:rRNA from 1 species
AGUGGCGGACGGGUGAGUAACGCGUGAGAAUCUGCCUUGGGGUCGGGGACAACCACUGGAAACGGUGGCUAAUACCGGAUAAGCCGAUUGGUGAAAGAUUUAUUGCCCGAAGAGGAGCUCGCGUCUGAUUAGCUAGUUGGUGAGGUAAGAGCUCACCAAGGCAGCGAUCAGUAGCUGGUCUGAGAGGACGAUCAGCCACACUGGGACUGAGACACGGCCCAGACUCCUACGGGAGGCAGCAGUGGGGAAUUUUCCGCAAUGGGCGAAAGCCUGACGGAGCAAGACCGCGUGAGGGAGGAAGGCUCUUGGGUUGUAAACCUCUUUUCUCAGGGAAGAAGCUCUGACGGUACCUGAGGAAUCAGCCUCGGCUAACUCCGUGCCAGCAGCCGCGGUAAUACGGAGGAGGCAAUCGUUAUCCGGAAUUAUUGGGCGUAAAGCGUCCGCAGGUGGCGAUUCAAGUCUGCUGUCAAAGCACGGGGCUUAACUCCGUAAAGGCAGUGGAAACUGAAUAGCUAGAGUGCCGUAGGGGUAGAGGGAAUUCCCGGUGUAGCGGUGAAAUGCGUAGAGAUCGGGAAGAACAUCGGUGGCGAAAGCGCUCUACUGGACGGCAACUGACACUCAGGGACGAAAGCUAGGGGAGCGAAUGGGAUUAGAUACCCC